rnacentral:rRNA from 1 species
AUUGAACGCUGGCGGCAUGCCUUACACAUGCAAGUCGAACGGCAGCACGGGUGCUUGCCCCUGGUGGCGAGUGGCGAACGGGUGAGUAAUACAUCGGAACAUGUCCUGUAGUGGGGGAUAGCCCGGCGAAAGCCGGAUUAAUACCGCAUACGAUCUACGGAUGAAAGCGGGGGACCUUCGGGCCUCGCGCUAUAGGGUUGGCCGAUGGCUGAUUAGCUAGUUGGUGGGGUAAAGGCCUACCAAGGCGACGAUCAGUAGCUGGUCUGAGGGGACGACCAGCCACACUGGAACUGAGACACGGCCCAGACUCCUACGGGAGGCAGCAGUGGGGAAUUUUGGACAAUGGGCGAAAGCCUGAUCCAGCAAUGCCGCGUGUGUGAAGAAGGCCUUCGGGUUGUAAAGCACUUUUGUCCGGAAAGAAAUCCUUGGCCCUAAUACGGUCGGGGGAUGACGGUACCGGAAGAAUAAGCACCGGCUAACUACGUG